rnacentral:tRNA from 1 species
GAAGGAGGAAAUAUUCUAUUCUUAGUCUUAGGGGUUGAUUAAUGAUUGAAUACUAUUCGUUCGUUCUCUAUAAAUAUCAAUUUUUUCCAUCUAUCUACCUUAUCUAAUUUCUUGUUCAAUAUGUACUUUGUAUUCUUUUUAAGAAAAUCUAAAUACAGGGCGGA